UUACGCACGUAUAUAUAUGUAUAAUGCUAAACAUGUUACUUUGUUCGUAUAAACAAUUAUUUUAAACUUAGGGAUGUUUAUAUGGCCAUCUCGAUUUAGAAAGAAAAAGAAGAGAAUUUGUUACAGAUAUGACUUAUUGUUAGAAAAAUUUCUCCUUCGUUGGACGUGUCAUCUGUAAUGCGUUUUACAUAAGAUACUUUUGCAAUUUUCAAACGUUGCAAAAUGAGAAACGAGAUUCCUCUUCUUGUACCGCGAUGCACAUCGAUUUUUAAGAUUUUUUACUGUAUAUAAAACAGUAGGAUCCCAAGUGCGCGGUGAGCUAAUCGUCAAUUGUAUGGUCUAUCGAACAGUUCUACGCAGACUGUAUUUUGUAAAUAAGACAGCAUAUAUAAUCCACUUAGGAAAAUUUAACGUUAUAAAAAUGAAUCUUUAUAUCCUGAUAGCCAUAUCAAUAAGUAUGCGCUUGUAAUAUUUUAAUUCUACUAUAGUCCUUAUUAGAACAGUAAUUAAACGGCGUGUGAUAUUUAUUUCGAUAGAGGGAGCGAGCUUUCACAUAGUUCGUACGAAAUACAAAGAAUAUUUACAUUAAUGUUGUAUUUCAGAUUUUUGUAGUAAAAAGAAAUGAUUGUGCGCCUAUUAAGAUAUGUUUAAAUGUUUUAAGAUUCAAUUUCCUAGAAAGAUAGAAAGUACAAGAUACUUGAUGCCGAAUAAUGAUGAUUAGCUGUAUCGAGCCUUUGCUGAACGAUUAAUAAUUAAAAGGCUCUUGAAAAAGGAAUCAAGAUGCAUGAAUAAAAAUCUAAAAUUUGUAAUAUUUAGAUGCGAUUGUCAAGAUGUUUGAUAUGUGUGCAGUAUAAUAGAUGUAAAAGGUGAAGUCCAAUUUUCAUUACGGAAAAGUUGAUUCUAAACUUGUCGAGGAAUCAAUAAAAGAAGGUGCGCGAUUUCUGAGACGCUCUGUAUAUAUGAUAGUGCAAAAUAUUCGCAUUGUCAAGUGUGCUUUCAUGGAUUUACGCAUAUAUACGUAUGCACGUGUAUAUAAGUGAAGAUAAUCAUGACCGUGGCGAUUAUAAUUAAUAAUAUGUAUAAUUCUAUCGAAGUAUGUUAAUGAUAAAUAUAAUUAUAAAUAAUA